UACGUAGGUGGCAAGCGUUGUCCGGAAUUAUUGGGCGUAAAGCGCGCGCAGGCGGUCCCUUAAGUCUGAUGUGAAAGCCCACGGCUCAACCGUGGAGGGUCAUUGGAAACUGGGGGACUUGAGUACAGAAGAGGAAAGCGGAAUUCCACGUGUAGCGGUGAAAUUCGUAGAUAUUGGGAAGAACACCGGUGGCGAAGGCGGUCUGCUGGGCAGUAGCUGGACACUGAGGCGCGACAGCGUGGGGAGCAAACAGG
rnacentral:rRNA from 1 species